rnacentral:rRNA from 1 species
UACAGAGGGGGCAAGCGUUGUUCGGAAUUACUGGGCGUAAAGGGCGCGUAGGCGGCCUUCUAAGUCGAACGUGAAAUCCCCGGGCUCAACCCGGGAACUGCGUCCGAUACUGGAAGGCUUGAAUCCGGGAGAGGGAUGCGGAAUUCCAGGUGUAGCGGUGAAAUGCGUAGAUAUCUGGAGGAAUACCGGUGGCGAAGGCGGCAUCCUGGACUGGUCCUGACACUCAGGAGCGAAAGCGUGGGGAGCGAUCCGG